CCCGGAAACCAAUUAAAUAAAAAACCAUUACACUUUACACAUAAUACUUUAGAAAAAGAAAUCAAUUAUCCUGUUGAACGAUACCUACAUUCAACGUACCAAAAUAUUGACUAGAAAUCGAUAUAAUUACAUUAUCAAUCAAGAAAACUUAUAAAUGACCCACGUCCCAGAAAAUGACAGAGGCAUGCAAUAUCGUGAUAUCCAGCGAGGUAUGUGAGAUUCUUAUCAUAUUAUUGAUAUGUUCUUUUGUCCCCUCUUCGUGCGAUAUAGUACUGUUUGUCUGAUUUUCUUGUUCUCCAUAAUUGAUUCUCAAAACCCUAAGAUUCGUCAAGAAAAAGCUUUUAAUUUUGUGAUAUAUAUGAUUA
rnacentral:lncRNA from 1 species